AUGCUUCUAGCCCAUUUCAAAGAACAACAAGACAAGAUGUUUCUAAUUGUCGAAGACACUGCCAUUGCAACUGAUGUUGACACCACUAAGCUUCCUUGGAACCCCUGCAUUGUGGUUUGUGGAAACAGCCCACUCACUGCCAAUGUGUUCAUGGUUGCAGUGGACCAGUUCAUAGUAAAUGAUCAGCUUCCCAGCUUCAACAAAGCAUUCCAAAUGAUGUUCUGUUCAUAUUACCUGCACAACAUUGACUAUCCAGUGGAAAUUGCAGCUACGCUGGAGUUUUUACAGAGGUAUCUAUUCAUUAUGCAUUACACAUUAAAAAUAUAUAAUUUAUAUUGUAGUUAAACUUGAUCUUGUUUUUAUAUGUAUAAUUGUCAUCUUAAAAAUCUUAAUUUGAGUUCUUAAGAUGAACAAAAUUCUUACAGGGUUGGAACAACAUGAGGGUGAUUAAUUACUGAGAGAAUUUUCAUUUUUGGGGGAACUAACCCUUUAAAGGGUUAUUUCACUCACAAAUGAAGAUUUUGUCAUCAUUUACUCCCCCCUCAUGUCUUUCCAACCCCAUCCAAUCAUCUUUGCAACACAAAUUAAGAUUUCGAUGAAAUCUAAGAGCUUUCUGUCCUUCCACGCAACUACCACUUUGACGCUUCAAAAUCCAUAUGUAUUGAGUGGUUUAGUCCAAAUUUUCUGAAGAGACACGGUCGGUUUAUAUGAUGAACAGGUUGAAUGAAUGGUUAUUCACAUAAACAUUAACCAAUGCACACAUUAGUUGUGGUAAAUGGAAGCUCAAAUAUGUUUGCUUGAUGUACAAGAACGUCAACGUCUGUGUUACACAGCACAUUUGAGCUUGCACAAGAGGUUUGUUCUGGCACAUUAAGGUUUGUUUGUUCGCUUAUCAAUGUUUAUUUGUGAAUUGUCAAGUUUGGAUGUAAUAUAAGAGUUGAGUAUUUUGACCUUGGUGAUCUUAUCUGAGGGCCCCUCAACCACCAAAGACUGUGGGCCCUGCUCCUGUGAGAGCUCUCCGACCGCUGCCACAAUGCCAGGGUCCAAACCCUCCAUCUGCUGUAGGUGAACUAAAAACAACUGAUAGCAGCUCUCAGUGAUAUGUGUCGGGUCCCCGCUGUAAUAGCAGCAACAUUCACAAAUGUUUACAGAAUAAGCGGGAACCCAGUGUGCCUGUAGCUUUCUCUAUUUCAGUUUUAUCACGUGAUAGAAAGUCCAAGGCCUUUUCAAGCCGAAGGGCAAACU
ensembl:lncRNA